rnacentral:lncRNA from 1 species
AAAGGCCCAACUCAUUCAUCCUUCAAGACCGGGCUCGAUCAAGCUUCUUCACUCAGGUCGGUCCAGCCCACGCGAAGCAGGUCCUCUCCUCUUGGGCCCAGCGUCCGACCCAACUCUCGGCCCAGCCCAGUAUCCAGAGCCCUACUCAGACAGCCUGGCAGAUCCGCUCGAACGUACGCACGAGGAGAAUCAGAGGCCGUUACGCAUGGAGCAGGCGGCUGAUACCCUCGUACACCCGAAUCUGUAUGUCAGAGACGCAUGUCCCAAUCACGGAGAGGCCUUUACACGUCACCAGUAAGUAAAGCGAAAUGGAUAAAAGGGGAGCUCCCUCCCCAGGUAGCAUAAGUUUUUUUAAGAUUAUUUUUUAAUACCAAAACCAUUGUAAAACCCUAUUCUAUUGGAUCUCAGAUCAUCAAUUGGCGCCGUCUGUGGGAAACGAAGGAGAUCUUUUCAUCACCGGAGUUUUCACUUUCAAAACCCACUGAGAUCCACGAUGGCAAACCACCAAGAAAGUAACCUUAACAUUCCAAAUGACCUGAGCUCUGCCCAAGAUGGGCAGCAGUUUUCCUUUUCUAGCCCUACAACGUUGAAUAACCAAACGCCUAUCCCUCUUAAUCCCUCGCCAAGCUUGGCAGGGAAUACUCCCACCAUGAUUCUGUCUAACCAGGACAUUCAAACCAUGGCUCUCCAACUACAGACUACUGCUCACUGGUUGGGGCAGAUAAUGCAACAGAGGGGCCUUAGCACCCCAGUAAAUACACUCCCAGUAGUGGAGGAACCCAGAACCAAUGAGCCCCGACCUACCUCUGAUCGCCUCCAAACUAACAGCCACGAUGCCGGGGAAGAGGAAGAACCGGAGGCCCGAAUCCAUGGGAGAAGGGCAAGAGAGUUGAUAGAAAAUGAGGAGGCGGACAACUAUUCUGCCGAAAUAACCAGGGAAACGAGAACUGAAACAGAGGAGGAGGAAUACAACUUGGGCAAAGGAUCCAGCCCGGAAGACGAGAAAAUGAACCAAAAGCUGAAAAGGUUGAAAGAGCAGCUCUUAGCCGAGCUAGGUAAGAAAGAUCAGAGCCAAACCUCCUUGCCCACCUCUUCUCCUUUCUCAAAGAUAGUGCAGCAGGAGACCGUUCCCAAGAAGUUUAUGAUGCCACUGAUGGCGGCCUAUAAUGGAGCUGGUAACCCGAGAGAGCAUGUCAUGAACUAUAAGACCUUCAUGGAGUUGCAAACCCUGUCAGAUGCUUUAAUGUGUAAGGUGUUCCCAACGAUGCUCUCGGGACCAGCGCGGGCGUGGUUCAACAGCUUGGAGGUUGGAAGCAUUAAAAGUUUUGGAGAUCUUGCCACCCGCUUCAUCAGCCGGUUCAUAGCCGGGGUGCCAGUAGAUAGGAAGACGAGCUAUCUAGAAACAGUGAAACAGAAAGAAGGUGAAUCACUCAGAGAGUAUGUCGCCCGUUUUAAUACGGAGGCCCUGCAGAUUCCCGAGCUAGAUGAAGGAAGGGCGGUGGAGGCCAUGCAAAAGGGAACAACCUCUGCCGAGUUCUUUGGUUCUUUGAGCAGAAAACCUCCGACCUCACUGGCUGAGUUGAUGAAGAGGGCGGAGAAGUACAUAAGGCAGGAUGACGCCUUAGUGACGAGUAGAUUUGCCAAAGGGAUGGCAGGAAAAGAGAAAGCCCCGGAGGAAAGGAGGCCGGAGAGACACGAGAAGAAAUAUGGAAAGAGGCCUGAGCCAUACAAACAGACCUGGGAGAGAAGGGAUCAAAGGCCUCCUCCACCUCCUCGGGCUCUUGAACCAAGAGUGCUCCCUCCUUGGGUUCCCGAGAAACCAACCCCCCUCAACGCUUCCAGAGCCGAAGUACUCAUGGCAGUUCAGGAUAAGGAGUUCCUCCAGUGGCCCAAACCCAUGAAGUCGAAAGCAGAUCAAAGAAAUCCUGACAAGUAUUGUCAGUACCACCGGAGACAUGGGCACGAUACGAACAACUGUUUUCAGUUAAUCGCGGAGAUUGAGAGGCUGAUAAAAAGGGGGCACCUCAAAAAUUUUGUGAAGAAACCAGAGGGACAGAGGCCUCACCCUGGUCCGACAACUCAGACGCCUAGGAGAAUAGGAGCUGGACCAGUGAAUGACGGGUCCAGUGGGACCAUCCACAUGAUUGUUGGAGGAACGGGAGGACGGAUGAGCCGUCGAGGAAAGAAGAGAAACCGGGAAGGAGAGACCAGCAAUAGUGAAGUCAUGCAAAUCGUUGACCACUCUCCCAUGAUCAUCACUUUCUCCUCAGAAGAUGCUCAGGGUAUUCAGAUGCCCCAUGAUGACGCGCUUGUCGUUGAAGCCGUCAUUCAUAAUUAUCGGGUAAAGAAGGUCUUAGUGGAUGAUGGGAGUAAAGUCAACUUACUGCCAUACCGAGUGUUUCAGCAGAUGGGAAUCCCAAAGGAACAGCUGGUUCGGGACCAGUCACCAAUCAAGGGGAUCGGAGGAGCACCGGUACUUGUAGAAGGAAAGGUGAAGCUGGCUCUUACCUUGGGAGAAGCACCCAGAGCUCGCACCCAUCAUGAGGUGUUUUUGGUGGUCAAACUCCCACUGAGCUACAAUGCGAUUUUGGGGAGACCGGCGUUGUUCGACUUUGAAGCUGUCACUAGUAUCAGGUAUUUGGCACUCAAGUUCCCAACGGAAGAAGGAGUGGGAAUGGUCCGGGGCAGCCAUGGAAGAACAAGGAAGCGUACCUGAAAAUGCAAUAAGGUGAAAAAAGCAGAAGGAGUUGCAGGGAGACAGAGAGCAGAAAAGAGCUAGUUUCUUCAGAAGACAGAAGGAAUUCGAAAUGAAAGGCAAUAAUGAGAUGAAACGUUGAUCUGAACAGUUUUGUCUUGGAGCGGCGCGAUCAUUAAUUACUCUCGAAGUUUACCCUCUCAACGGUUAUAUAAUAACCAGCGAGAAGGUAAAGGGGAAAAAGGAUGAUCGCUGGGCUUCUCCACAUCCGUCAAGGGCCAAGUCCACAAUGACAGCCCAUCUACAUAAGCCCAUUUGCCAUCUACAUAAUACAAGCCCAACUCGUCAGUCACAGUAACUCAACCUGCAAGAUUCACCACUUCACCACUUCACCACUUCUACGGUAAAUACCAAGGAAAUAGAGGGGCAAGUUAUGAAAAGACUCAAAAGUACAAACAGGUGGGAGCAUGAUAAAGGUCAGACCUGCUUAUCACUUAAAAAGUUAUAAGAUUUGAUUCGAUUGUUAUUGAACAAAUGCUGCGGGAUCAGAGGCAACAAGGGCACCUCGGAAACAUACAGAGCUAAGGGCUCAGAGUUCAACUUAUGAAAUAAAAAUAGAGCUCACAGGUCGGCAUUCUAGCUCGGAAAAAGUAAACCGAAAUAGAGCUCACAGGUCGGUCAGUCCAGUUCGGAAAACGUAACUUAAGAGCUUAGCUGACUAAAGAGAUUCAAAGCUCAACCCAUCGAGUAAAGACAGAGCUCACAGGUCUGUAAGUCCAGCUCGAAAAGAGUAACGCGAAAGCUCAGUUGGCUAAGUGGAUCCGGAGUUCAGAUCAUUGAUCAAAAGCAAAAGCUCACGAAUACGGUCAGUUCAGCUCGGAAAAAACAAAAUUUAGUUGGCUAAGACUUUGAAGAAAGCAGUAUCAGUACUCCAUCCACGAUAAAGAAAAGAACAAGCUCAAGUAUGAACGAAAAACAAGAAUUUCAUUAAAAGAAAAGUACAUUACAGAAUGGAAGACUAUCCUUAAAAGGAUUUACAUGUCCGGGCCUACAGAAUGGAAGACUAUCCUUAAAGGAUUUACAUAUCCGGGCCUACAGAAGGGAAGACUAUCCUUAAAGGAUUUACAUGUCCGGAUACUUCACCAUCUACGAUUACAUCGUUAUCACCUACCUCACUACUCUAAUCUUCAGCUCGGAGGAACUCUCGCAGCUCAGAAUGUGAGUUUGGCAGAAAAGGCCAAGAUCUGUCUUGCUAUUAUAGGGGAAUUGAACAAGUUGAUUCCCAUAAGUAUUUCUCACUGUUCCCCUAUAAUAGGUCGACACCCUGAUUGCCCAGAUGUGAUUCACAAUACGUACGGACAGGAUAUAAUAUCCGAGCUUGUCCGUAUGUACCAUGAAAACACGGACUUUCUAGUUACGGCUCCAAGGAGAUCGCUGAGCAUACAUUCGAAGGUAUCGCCAGAAGCUUGACUGAGUGCAGCAGAUCUCAGCCUCGCAUAAUACUGGUACUUCACACCAAAGGGAACAAUAAGUUGAGCAUUUUCACCACUUCCAUUUAUAUCAAAAGCAGAUAACAGGGGUAUCGGGGAAAUUUCCUUGUCUCUCCCGAAGAAAGGUAAAAUUAGAGCAAACCCCUCAACACCCCAGAACCUCUUCGGAAUCCGGACAACAAGCAAAGGAGGAGGCCGGCCAGACGACCUGGGUGAAAUAGUUCCAGCGACUUGCCGAAUGGUCUCAACCGUCGACCUCCCUACCAGAAGGACCUCCAAAACAACGCUUAGACUCCUUAGAGGUAACCUCCAAUUUUUAAAAAUUUUGAGCUGACCCAUUUUUAUCUCAGGUACUGCAAAAAGUUUCAAAACAGAGACAAGUCAGAACAAUUUUCUAUCAAGAUGAUAAAGGCAAGAUUAAAGCAAAUCUAUGGAGUAACAAAGCAAUACAAACUCAAGCUCACCACCAGCCAUUUGGAGAAGGCGUCAAAUGGAUCCUUCGCAGAUAAAACAGGACAAUCUCGUCGGAAGAAGGAAGUAGACAGAAAACUGGAAACGGAAGAAUCCCUUAUUCCAAUAGAGGGUCCAAGAAUGAAGAAAAGCUGGCGUUGAUAUAUACCCGGAAGUCUGAGGCCCUAGCACAAGAUAGAGUUAUAUUAGACUCUAAGCUAGCAAUGACAGAUGUUCAUGGGAAAGGAAAGAAAGGACAUGUCCAGAUAAUGACGACAAGAAAGCAAAGGUAACAGAGGACACGGAGAAUAGAGAAAAGCCAGAAAGGGAAAAAAGCAGAUAAGAUUCAAAACUGCGCAACGACAGAAAGAUGAAAGGAUGUUAUGAAGGCAUCUGAACACGAACAGACGCGGUCAUAAUGGUUCUUGAUAUUCCCCCCCUCGGCAGUUGAAAGCAAUAACUACCGAGAAGGUGAAUGGGCAAUUGAUGACCACUGGAUUUCUUUACCCCGGUCCUGGGCCUUGACCACAGCCAAAGGCCCAACUCAUUCAUCCUUCAAGACCGGGCUCGAUCAAGCUUCUUCACUCAGGUCGGUCCAGCCCACGCGAAGCAGGUCCUCUCCUCUUGGGCCCAGCGUCCGGCCCAACUCUCGGCCCAGCCCAGUAUCCAGAGCCCUACUCAGACAGCCUGGCAGAUCCGCUCGAACGUACACACGAGGAGAAUCAGAGGCCGUUACGCAUGGAGCAGGCGGCUGAUACCCUCGUACACCCGAAUCUGUAUGUCAGAGACGCGUGUCCCAAUCACGGAGAGGCCUUUACACGUCACCAGUAAGCAAAGCGAAAUGGAUAAAAGGGGAGCUCCCUCCCCAGGUAGCAUAAGUUUUUUUAAGAUUAUUUUUCAAUACCAAAACCCUUGUAAAACCCUAUUCUAUUGGAUCUCAGAUCAUCA